GAAUGCUGACAUAAGUAACGAUAAAGCGGGUGAAAAGCCCGCUCGCCGGAAGACCAAGGGUUCCUGUCCAACGUUAAUCGGGGCAGGGUGAGUCGACCCCUAAGGCGAGGCCGAAAGGCGUAGUCGAUGGGAAACGGGUUAAUAUUCCCGUACUUGGUGUUACUGCGAAGGGGGGACGGAGAAGGCUAUGUUGGCCGGGCGACGGUUGUCCCGGUUUAAGCGUGUAGGUGUGUGUUCCAGGUAAAUCCGGUUCACUUUAACACUGAGGCGUGAUGACGAGGCACUACGGUGCUGAAGUAACAAAUGCCCUGCUUCCAGGAAAAGCCUCUAAGCAUCAGGUAACAUCAAAUCGUACCCCAAACCGACACAGGUGGUCAGGUAGAGAAUACCAAGGCGCUUGAGAGAACUCGGGUGAAGGAACUAGGCAAAAUGGUGCCGUAACUUCGGGAGAAGGCACGCUGACACGUAGGUGAAGUGAUUUACUCAUGGAGCUGAAGUCAGUCGAAGAUACCAGCUGGCUGCAACUGUUUA
rnacentral:rRNA from 1 species